CCCUACUGCUAUCGGGGUGGGACUAAGACAUGCGAGUUGUGCGUCUCUAAGCUAUGGUAGAGACGCGGCGUACGGCUCAGUAACACGUGGCUAACCUACCCUUAGGACGGGGACAACCCCGGGAAACUGGGGCUAAUACCCGAUAGGUGAGGAGGCCUGGAAUGGUUCCUAGUCGAAAAGGCGUUGAAACCAUGCUUUUCGACGUCGCCUAAGGAUGGGGCCGCGCCCGAUCAGGUUGUUGGUGGGGUAACGGCUCACCAAGCCUAUAACCGGUACGGGCCGUGAGAGCGGGAGCCCGGAGAUGGGCACUGAGACAAGGGCCCAGGCCCUACGGGGCGCAGCAGUCGCGAAAACUCCGCAAUGCGCGAAAGCGUGACGGGGCUACCCCGAGUGCCGUCCGCUGAGGAUGGCUUUUCCCCGGUGUAAUGAGCCGGGGGAAUAAGGAGAGGGCAAGCCUGGUGUCAGCCGCCGCGGUAAUACCAGCUCUCCGAGUGGUGGGGAUGCUUAUUGGGCCUAAAGCAUUCGUAGCCGGUUGGGCAAGUCCUCCGUUAAAUCCAGCGAUUCAAUCGUUGGACUGCGGGGGAUACUGCCCGGCUUGGGGGCGGAAGAGGCCGACGGUAUUCUCGGGGUAGGGGUGAAAUCCUAUAAUCCCGGGAGGACCACCAGUGGCGAAGGCUGUCGGCUAGAACGCGCCCGACGGUGAGGGAUGAAAGCUGGGGGAGCGAACCGGAUUAGAUACCCGGGUAGUCCCAGCUGUAAACGAUGCAGGCUAGGUGUUGGCGCGGCUACGUGCCGCUCCAGUGCCGCAAGGAAGCCGUUAAGCCUGCCGCCUGGGAAGUACGGCCGCAAGGCUGAAACUUAAAGGAAUUGGCGGGGGAGCACCACAAGGGGUGAAGCUUGCGGUUU
rnacentral:rRNA from 1 species